UGCUGGUGUGGUGAUUAGGCCUGGUGGAACUGCCAUCAAUAAACUAAGUGUGAUCAGGCUGAAGGAGCUGGGGAGCAGAAAGUAUAUGCGUCAGGUGUGAGGAAGAAAAUAGCUGGGGAGCAGAAAGUAUAUGCGUCAGGUAUGAGUCUGUAGAAAAGGACUAUUAGAAAGACUCAGUGACACCUGGGGUUGGGACUGAGGGGACAGGCAGGAGGGAAAGAAGGAAGAUUUGGGACUAGUUGCAUUGGGAACAGAGACUAAGGAGGGAUUGAUGUGUAAAAGAAUGGCUGGACGUCAGGCACCUCAGACCGUUU
rnacentral:lncRNA from 10 species